rnacentral:rRNA from 1 species
CUACGUAGGGAGCAAGCGUUGUCCGGAUUUACUGGGUGUAAAGGGUGCGUAGGCGGCUAUGCAAGUCAGUUGUGAAAACUAUGGGCUCAACCCAUAGCCUGCGAUUGAAACUGCGUGGCUUGAGUGAAGUAGAGGUAGGUGGAAUUCCCGGUGUAGCGGUGAAAUGCGUAGAGAUCGGGAGGAACACCAGUGGCGAAGGCGACCUACUGGGCUUUAACUGACGCUGAGGCACGAAAGCAUGGGUAGCAAACAGGAUUAGAUACCCUGGUAGUCCAUGCCGUAAACGAUGAUUACUAGGUGUGGGGGGUCUGACCCCCUCCGUGCCGGAGUUAACACAAUAAGUAAUCCACCUGGGGAGUACGACCGCAAGGUUGA